rnacentral:rRNA from 1 species
GUCUACAGUUAUACCACCCUGAAUGUGCCUGAUCUUGUCUGAUCUCAGAAGCUAGGCAAGGCUGGGCCUGGUUAGAAGUUGGAUGGGAGAAGAUAAAGUUAACUGUAAAAC